rnacentral:rRNA from 1 species
UACGUAGGGGGCGAGCGUUGUCCGGAAUUAUUGGGCGUAAAGAGCGUGUAGGCGGUUCGGUAAGUCUGCCGUGAAAACCUGGGGCUCAACCCCGGGCGUGCGGUGGAUACUGCCGGGCUAGAGGGUGGUAGAGGCGAGUGGAAUUCCCGGUGUAGCGGUGAAAUGCGCAGAUAUCAGGAGGAACACCAAUUGCGAAGGCAGCUCGCUGGGACGUUACUGACGCUGAGACGCGAAAGCGUGGGGAGCAAACAGG